AACGCGAAGAACCUUACCCAGACUUGACAUCGCGAGAAAAGCAUAGAAAUAUGUUCCCCGGCCCAAAAGGCCGGCUCAAAGACACUUGUUGCAUGGCUGUCGUCAGCUCGUGCCGUGAGGUGUACGGUUAAGUCCGCCAACGAGCGCAACCCACGUCCUGUGUUACCAGCGAGAGAGUCGGGCACUCACAGGAGACCGCCGGUGUAAGCCGGAGGAAGGUGUGGAUGACGUCAAGUCAGCAUGGCAGUUACGUCUGGGGCUUCACACAUGCUACAAUGGGCGCAACAGAGGGACGCGAUACCGCGAGGUGGAGCCAAUCCCAGAAAUACGCCCUCAGUUCAGAUUGUAGUCUGCAACUCGACUACAUGAAGGCGGAAUCGCUAGUAAACGCAGGUCAGCUAUACUGCGUUGAAUACGUUCCCGGGCCUUGUACACACCGGCUAC
rnacentral:rRNA from 1 species